rnacentral:rRNA from 1 species
ACAUGGUGCAAUAAGCGUUUCACUUCUAUUCCUACUUAUAAAAGGCUUGAUCAUUGCUUUCCUAAUAUUGUAUGGUGCAAUAAUUUUCCUAAUACUUCUGCGUACAAUCUUUCUAUUAUGCAUAGUGAUCAGGCUCCAAUUCUUACUAUUUCUCAGCCUUUGACUAUCAAAAGUAGGAGAACUUUUAAAUUUGAAAAUUGGUGGCUUCUUGAAGAGGAAUAUUAUGAUACAGCUAAAAAUAAUCGGAACUGUACUAAUAACUAA